rnacentral:rRNA from 1 species
UACAGGGGGUGCAAACGUUGCUCGGAAUCAUUGGGCGUAAAGCGCACGUAGGCGGUUCGUUAUGUCGGAUGUGAAAGCUCUUGGCUUAACCGAGGAAGUGCAUCCGAAACUGGCGAGCUAGAGUACUAAAGAGGAUCGCGGAAUUCCCGGUGUAGAGGUGAAAUUCGUAGAUAUCGGGAGGAACACCGGUGGCGAAGGCGGCGAUCUGGGUAGAUACUGACGCUGAGGUGCGAAAGCGUGGGGAGCAAACAGG